AGGCAGAACGGUCGCCGCGUCGCCUCAGCACGGACCUCCAGGGAGCUCCUCAGCAAGAUCCUGCCAGGGCGCCCCUCAGCGCGAUUCUGCCGGGGUGCCUCUCAGCGUGGUCCUCCCCGGGGCUCCUCAGCACGAUUCUCCCGGUGCGCCCCUCAGCGCGGUCCUCCUCGGUGCGUCAGUCAUCGUGGUUCUCCCCGGCGCGCCCCUCGGCGCGGUUCUCCUCGGGGCUCCUCAGCGCGGCGCUCUUCUGGGGGCUCCUCGGCGCAGUUCUCCCCGGGGACUCCUCGGCGCCGUUCUCCUCGGGGCACCCGGGGCUUUUCGGCGCGGUUCUCCCCGGGGGUUCUUCGGCGCGGUUGUCCCCGGGGGUUCUUCGGCGCGGUUCUCUCCGGGGGCCUCUCGCCGCGGUUCUGUUCUCCCCGGGGGCUCCUCAGCAUGGUUCUCCUCCGCGCGGUCCUCCCUGGGCCUCCUCAGCGCGGCACUCUCCUGGGGGCUCCUCAGCGCGGCACUCUCCCCGGGGGCUCCUCAGCGCGGCACUCUCCCGGCGGCUCCUCAGUGCGGUUCUCCCAGACUCUCCUCAGCGCGGCCCUCCCCAUCUCUCUGGGAGGGUUUGAACACGGUCAGCACGGACCUGGGCGGACGGCGCGGGACGGGUGAUCACUGGCGUUGCUGAGGGCAACUUGGCAUUAGAAUGACGUCAGGAUUUUCCAAAUCUGUUAAGUUCAACAGGACUCCACUCAAACUUCCAGUUGGAGGGCUUGAGUAAUUUAACAAACAUAUUCUAAAAUGUAUGUGGAAGAAAAAUAUUUGUAAAUGCCAACUGAACUUUUGAAAAGGAGAGCAGAGGACUUCUGCUGGCAGAUACCAGGGCACACGCCAACUUCAGCAAUCAGAGCGGUGUGGUGACAGAGGCCCAGAAGAGAGCUCAGAGGUAACUCCAAGUCUAGAGGAAGGGGACAUGUGAUAAAGGUGGCACCACAUAUCAGUGGGGACUGUUCAGAAGAUGAUGUUGGAAAGCCAGCCCUAAAAUGGAGGAAUAGGAAUAUGGAUUCCUAACUGAGCCCCUAGGAAAAGUAGACUCCAAAUGGACUAAAUAUUUGAAAGCAAAAGGUAGUUGCCAUUUGUUUAAUAGGAGAAAAAAUGAAUAAUCUCCAGGGCCAGGGUGGCCGUGGGGUUCUUAAACAGGAUCCAGAAAGCACAAACCUCAAGACUAAAAUGUAUGAACUUGAAUGCAUUAAUGAUUAUGGAUUAAGGAUUUCUGUUAAAUAAAUCCAUCAUGGCAAGGGUCAA
rnacentral:lncRNA from 1 species